UGGGGAAUAUUGCACAAUGGGCGAAAGCCUGAUGCAGCCAUGCCGCGUGUGUGAAGAAGGCCUUAGGGUUGUAAAGCACUUUCAGCGAGGAGGAAAGGAUUAAAGUUAAUACCUUUAGUCUGUGACGUUACUCGCAGAAGAAGCACCGGCUAACUCCGUGCCAGCAGCCGCGGUAAUACGGAGGGUGCGAGCGUUAAUCGGAAUUACUGGGCGUAAAGCGUGCGUAGGCGGCUACUUAAGUUGGAUGUGAAAGCCCCGGGCUCAACCUGGGAACUGCAUCCAAAACUGAGUAGCUAGAGUGCGAGAGAGGAGUGUGGAAUUUCCUGUGUAGCGGUGAAAUGCGUAGAUAUAGGAAGGAACACCAGUGGCGAAGGCGACACUCUAGCUUGACACUGACGCUGAGGUACGAAAGCGUGGGGAGCAAACAGGAUUAGAUACCCUGGUAGUCCACGCCGUAAACGAUGUCUACUAGUUGUCCGCUGUCUUGUACGAUGGGUAACGCAGCUAACGCGAUAAGUAGACCGCCUGGGGAGUACGGCCGCAAGGUUA
rnacentral:rRNA from 1 species